rnacentral:rRNA from 1 species
UACGAAGGGGACUAGCGUUGUUCGGAAUUACUGGGCGUAAAGCGCACGUAGGCGGAUUUGUAAGUCAGGGGUGAAAUCCCGGGGCUCAACCUCGGAACUGCCUUUGAUACUGAGGAUCUUGAGUUCGGGAGAGGUGAGUGGAACUGCGAGUGUAGAGGUGAAAUUCGUAGAUAUUCGCAAGAACACCAGUGGCGAAGGCGGCUCACUGGCCCGAUACUGACGCUGAGGCACGAAAGCGUGGGGAGCGAACAGG